rnacentral:lncRNA from 1 species
AUGGCAUCCCAUUUCUUCAUUUUCCAGUGCAUGAGUGUGGCUGUCACUGAAAUCCUCAACAGUGGGGAUUUUACACAUCUAAUAGAUUUAUCACUUCUAGCACGCUGCUAUUUGGGGAGAGGUUGGGAUUCACCUUCAAAAAAAAGGACUGUUCCUGUUAUGGAGAGGGACCUGAGUGCCAAUGCAGCUCUAAGCACAGGAGGAAGUUACGUGUGUUUCAUGAGAUGGCUCACCUUUAAAAUUAAAGUACUUAAUAACUUUCAAAUGUCAGGUCUCAUUAUUGCAUGUCGGUCAGAACCUUGUCUAAAGUUCAUUUGAUUUUUGGCUAGUAAAAGCACACAUUACAGAUCAAAAUAAUAACCUAAUAACUAGUUAGGAUUUUUAAUGUGAACCUCUCCCCUCUGCUGUGUGAGUGCUAUGAGAAUUUGUCAGGAAAUCACACACUAGCAAUAAAAAUACAGACGAAUAUUAUCUCCA